rnacentral:rRNA from 1 species
AUGAAGACUCAGAUGGCGUCCGAUCAGCACCUAACGGCUGCGAGAGCGUCCUGUGUCGCUGUUGGCUUUCCGGCGAGCCUUCAGAGAGCCAACUACUCCAUUUUGCUUUUCCUUCUUUUUCCUCCAAGUUGUAAGGCUAUAAAGUCAUUUCAGUUAUUGUUUCUGAAUCUUGAUCUUCAGACCAACUCGGGUCUGACAGGCUGGAGCAACUCUGUAUUUCCAUGCAUGGGUAGCACUGCAGCAACUCAGAGAUCUAUUAUUUACAGAGUUGUUUCAGUGGAUAUUCUUAUGCUCAGACUGAUCAGGACAUCAAUCUGCAAAUAG